rnacentral:rRNA from 1 species
UACGUAGGGGGCGAGCGUUGUCCGGAGUUACUGGGCGUAAAGCGCUUGUAGGCGGUCCACCAAGUUUGGGGUGACAGUUGCCGACUUAAUCGGCAAAGUGCCUCAAAGACUGGCGGACUUGAGGGCCACAGAGGGACAUGGAACUCCAGGUGUAGUGGUGAAAUGCGUAGAUAUCUGGAAGAACACCAAAGGCGAAGGCAGUGUCCUGGGUGGUCGCUGACGCUGAGACACGAAAGCCAGGGGAGCAAACGGG